rnacentral:lncRNA from 1 species
CUUUUGAGACUGAUGAGAAUUUGAUUUUCUGACCUUCAAAAAUAAUUCUCUCUUGAAAGUCAUCAAAAAUAAUUCUCUUUUGAAAGUCAGGCCAGAGAGACCUCUUCUACCCACCUUCCAAACACCUCUCUCACUUCCAUUUUCCAUAUUUCGACGGUGUUCCACCUUAUCUCUCCUCGUCCACGCUGCCACUCCUACACACAUCAGUGCUCCAAACUUCAUUCAACCAAUCUUCAUUUACCACGCGUUUGGGGCCAUUGCCUUAUCAUUUCAUUCUCGCGCCACAGAACCACAUUUCACACAAUUUCCUAAAGAAACCUCAUCUGCUAGGGUUUCUUCCUCUGGAGCGCAUCUUCCUCGUCUCAAACCACAGAUCGACCAUAUCUCCUCCGUUUCCACGGGUAAGGCUACUUUUCUUCACAGAUCCAUCCUCUUCCACCAUUUCUUUGGAUUUCCACCGGUUAAAAGCCUUUUCUCGCCGUUUAAAUCAUCGUCUAGCCUCAUUUCCACCGAUUAAAACCUUCUUCUUCGUUUGUUCUUCACUAUUCACCGAUUAAAACUUUUUCUCCAUCGUUUAAUCGGUUUAGAUUAGGGUUUAUACUAUAUUUAGGGUUUCUAACGAGUUCAUCCUCUGUGUCGAGCUUUUCUCUUUCGAUUUCGAGUUCCUCAACAUUUCGCUACAUAUUUCUUUGUCGGAGAAGCUUCGAGGAGGUCUAGUUCGUCGUCUCACUGCUUCAAUCGGCCUCUCCUUAGAGCCUUCGUCCAUCAGGGAGUGGUUAGAAUUGUCUUGUAUGGAUAGGUUUUUUUGUGUAUGUUUUUUUGUUGUGAUUAAUGUAAAAGUUAUCUGUUGUUUUAUGCUAAACACAAUAAAAAUCUCUCAGUUUUAAUUUCUAAGAGACAAAAGCGUAAAAUAAUAAGAAUAAAAUAACAACGACAUAUUUGUGCUAAAAAAAGUUCAACAAUGAAGAUUCAAUUGAAAAAUAUAAAAAAGUCAAUUACUCAAUAAAUAAAAAAAUAUUUAAUAGGAUUCCAUUGAAAUUAUCCAAAUUUAUGAGAGAUUUCAGUUUUAUUUUAUUUUUUCAAAUUUAGAGUGUAUAGCUUAUUUUAAUUUAUGAAAGAAGUUUAAUAUACUAUAGCUACUUAAUUAUUUUUAUAAGUAUUUAUGCAAAGCUAAAUCCUUUUUCAUGAUUCCAAGAGGAAACUGAUACAAUAUUUUAUAUACAAAAUGGUUCAGUUGUUGUCUAGAUGAUAUAAACUUUGGUUCACUCAUGAUGGGUAAAGGCAACAAUAGAAACUAGCAUUAACAUAUACAUAACAUAUUAAACAAGACAAUGAUGUGAGCACCUGACAUAAGAGUUGAUGUUCAAAGAAAAAGGUCUUAGUUUGAGAGGUAAGUAGGAAAGGAACGAUCACAUGAAUGAGCAGUCCAUAAAGAACUAAGAGUUCGAAGACGAUGGAAGUAUUCCCCCAUAGCCACCAAGCCUUGAGCAGUUUGCCCAGGUGUCAGAAUCCUUGACAUGUAGAGCAGAGUUUGCUGCCUAAGGUGGUCUGCCUGAGGAACAAGCUAAUAAAUUCAACAAGCUUUCAACUUAACAGUAAUAGUUUUGCAUGCUUUAGCAGUAAAAAAACAAUGCAGAACACUAGACCUCUAUUUCUCCACUAAGCAAUAAAUAAAGUCAAACAUUAAUAGAUGAUAAGAAAUGGACUUUAAAUCUAAUUCAAUCUUACAAAAUUGACUUAUAAAAUAAGAUUUGUAUCCACUAAUAUACUAUUAUAAAUUAACUUUAUCUCGAAUUGAUGUGAGACUUCCCAGAUAGUAUGAAAUGAUUUCAAACUUCAUUUUAGAAGUAAAUUUUUGUGAGAAUGAGUUAUGAUACAUAAUUUGAGGGGAUUCAUUGAGGAGAUUUAAUACAAAUAAAAUCCGAACCAAAUCCUUAUAAGUUGUUCAUAUUUCUCUUUUUUAAUAUAUAACUUAGACUUAUAUAGUUGAAUUCCCAACUAAUUAGUUUUAGAGUUCAUAUUUUAUGAUGAUAUCAAAGUAUAUUGUAAUAAAUUUUAUUACAAACACCAUAACUUCAUUUUUCAAAUUAAUUCUUCAUUGAUAUAGUUGUUAUUUUGGCUUAACUAUUGCCUUGAUAGAUAACUUUUAAUUAAAAAUCUUAAUGCGGCACUCUACUACACAUUGCAUGGUACUUCUAUUAAGUACUGGAUGUGAAGUUAAUAGAUGACAGUAAUUUAAGAAAUUAAAACAGAGACAUACUAAAUAAAAAAAUGAGAGAAAAAUUUGAGAAAUGAUGAAGGUAAAAGUAUCAAAAGGGUAAUUAACUCUUUUAAUUAAUUAUGUGUAGUGAGUUUCCUAAUAAAUAUCUACCAUUUAAUCAUUUCGCAAUCAUGAUUUUAAACUAUGGUUGGGGUCAUAAUUGUCAUCAUAAUUCAAUUUAACGACCAAAAUGUGGUUGGGGACUGUUUCUUAAGACCAAGUUUGCCAUAGAAAGGCUUUUAUGUAUGCUACAUAUAAUGUCUCAAGUUUCCCAUCAUAUGACUGAGUAAUAACAAAAUACAAACAUUUUUAAAAAAUUUGAUGCUGCAUACAUUACCUGGUUUACAAAACCUUCUAGUGCUUCACCCUUGUCCAUUGCAGCAGCCAUCUCAAAGCCGUAGUGUCCUAUAGCUAAGGGAUCUGAUGGAAUGUUGUGGACUAGACUCUGCUGGAGUUUGUCCAAUCCAAGUGAAAGGGCAUCUUCAGCUUGCUGAGAUGAAAGCCGGAGCUUGUUAAUACUCACAAUUUGUUGAUCAGUCAAAGGCUCAAGCUGUGGUACAAUAAUCUGAAAGAAAAAGGUCAAGUAAUUUUAACAAGAUGUUUAUGUAUUCACAGUCCAGAACACAGAAUAGAAAAGAUGUUUUGUUUUACGAACUACAUGUAUCAUAUCUGAAGUAUUGAAAAACUGUAGUUGUGCAUAGAAUCUGACAUUCUUGUUUGGCUUCAAAGCAACCUAGCAUGACUGAAAUCUAAACAAGUUUCUGUUAUUUCAAGAUCUUUAGGAAAGAGUUUAACACAUAAAUUUGACAUUCGACACCAAUGACUCAUGAGUAAAUCGAGAUAAGAGAUUUCAAUACCACCUUCAACUACAAUGAUUUGUAAGUCUUUUUUCUUUAUAUUCUUCAACUUUCUCAUUUUUACUCAAUAUGGUUUCAGAUUUCCACUUGAAUUCAUAAUACUAUAAUGCACAAUCUAUGAAUAGAAAAUAAUUUAAAAGUCGUUAGAUUGACAUGUGGAUGUACAUUUAGAAGCUGUGAUGGACGGGAUCCUCCAAUCCAAAGAUAAAGGCGUUCCACUGAUGCUUUCCAUGCGCCACAGAUCAUAUAAAAGACAUCUGCUUUUGCUGCCUCUGCUUUCAUCCUGAAAAGAUUUGAGUAGUGGCUCAAGCAACUCUCAACAAGUAGAUGAAGCUGCAUAUCAGAGUCACGAGUGUGUAAUGCAUUUCUCAGUUCUUCAUUUUGUCUAUCGAGCUCUUCAAUCCAUUGUCCAUAUUCAAGUUCAAACAAGGUUAUCCCUGCUUUACAAACAAUGCUUUAGAAACUUAAUGCGUCACACAGUUAGAAAAAGUAGAAAUGGAAUCACAAAUUAAAUGACAUUUGAGAAUUCUACAAGACAAAGUGUCAAAAACAUUAAAAUAGUCACAUCACGAAAGCUACUUGCAGUUCAAUAUGAAAUACUUAAUUUUCUCAUAUACUUGGAUCACUGAGAAGAAUUUUGAUAGAAUGCAACACAAUAUUACAACAUGUGAUCUAGAAUAAAAACAAGAGAAUUGAUUUUAUAACAUUUAACUUCAAUUGGAGGUUGAAGACUUUACUCAAAUAACCAUGAUUUGAACUAGAAUAGAUAUAAUUGUUGAUGCCAUUCUGUCAAAAUUAUUAUUAAAAUUUUUCAUUGACUUGAAGCAAAUCUGUAUUUGAUGCAGGCAACAAAAUGAACCGUAGAGGAAUACUAAGAAUAGUCACAUAAAUACCUGACAAAAGUAUCAUUAUAGGUAACAACACAGAAAUGGAUUUCAUCUAAUACAGGCUCAAACAUAAACCAUAAAUCAAACUGCAAAUUAUUCUAAAAACACCAGAAGAAAGUAGUACAAAAAAUAACUAAAAAAAUAACAUUUUGUGGAAACUUGAAAGUUAAAACUGAAACUAAGAAUCUCCAACCUGGGUUAAUUGUUCCGGAUGAUCCCAUAUAACUAACAUCUGGUGUACUGCUUAUGUACAUACCCUGCAAGUGGACAUCAUAAUAAGUUCUUUAACACAUACAUUAAAAUAAAAGUCAUAAACAAGAACUACGAUUUUUCAGUUAAGAUCACCUGCUUUUUUGCUUUCUCAAUCUCCAAUUCCAAUUGCAUGAGCUUCACACGGCUUGUUUCUAAUUGUUGAACAUAAGCCUAUUAAUUACAUUAGAAAGAAUCAGAUUAUCAACACAAGCUAACUUCCCCAUAAAUUCAGUUUCUAUCACCUUCUUCCGCAGCCGACAUUUUCGUGCAGCCUCACGAUUUUGUGCUUGACGUCUUAGCACCUACACAUAAAUAAUCCUUAAAAACUUCAGUAAAAAACAUUCAUGUUUGAUAUCAAGAUCUCCAAAGCAUUAAUUUUGGUUUCUUGUGAACAUUAUAAUGAUUAAAUUGAAGCCGGUAAAAGAUGAGCAUGGAAUAAGCAGAAAAGAAAUAUACAGUGAUUAAACCCAUCACCUUACUAUCAGUUUUCUCAUUAUUCUCUUGAUCAUCUCCAGAAGGUUCCCUUGAUUCAUGAGGAGUACAUUCAGGCUGAACACAGGGAAUUCAGU